AACGGCGCACAGCUCAGUAGCACGUGGCUAACCUACCCUUCGGACGGAAAAAACCCGGGAAACUGGGGCUAAUGUCCGAUAGGUGAAGAUCCUGGAAUGGUUUUUUGCCUAAAUGACGUCUAGAGCAUGCUUCUAGGCGUUGCCGAAGGAUGGGGCCGCGGCCGAUCAGGUUGUUGGUGAGGUAACGGCUCACCAAGCCUUUAACCGGUGCGGGCCGUGGGAGCGGAAGCCCGGAGAUGGGCACUGAGACAAGGGCCCAGGCCCUACGGAGCGCAGCAGUCGCGAAAACUUCGCAAUAAGCGAAAGCUUGACGGGGCUAUCCCGAGUGCCAUCCGCUGAGGAUGGCUUUUCCCUAGUCUAGAUAGCUGGGGGAAUAAGGAGAGGGCAAGUCUGGUGUCAGCCGCCGCGGUAAUACCAGCUCUCCGAGUAGUGGGGAUGAUUAUUGGGCCUAAAGCAUCCGUAGCCGGCUGGGCAAGUCCCCUGUUAAACCCAGCGAUUUAAUCGUUGGUCUGCGGGGGAUACUGCUCGGCUAGGGGGCGAGAGAGGCCGUCGGUAUUCCCGGGGUAGGGGUGAAUCCUAUAAUCCCGGGAGGACCACCAGUGGCGAAGGCUGUCGGCUAGAACGCGCCCGACGGUGAGGGAUGAAAGCUGGGGGAGCGAACCGGAUUAGAUACCCGGGUAGUCCCAGCUGUAAACGAUGCAGGCUAGGUGUUAGGGCGGCCACGUGCCGCUCUAGUGCCGCAGGGAAGCUGUUAAGCCUGCCGCCUGGGGUACGGCCG
rnacentral:rRNA from 1 species